AAUGGAAAAAUGAGCGCCCUGAAGACAACUUCCAUCUUCGUCUGUAGCGAGAUCAUCUGGAACAAGAUAAGGACAACUCAGACUUGGAAUUGAAUCAUGGUGAUGAGCAAGAGGCAGAGGAUGAUGUAAGAAUAGGGGAGGCCUACACUAGGAAGCUGUAUGGUACAAACAGUAAGUUCCUGUUUGUACACCAAACUCAAUGGCAGAGAAGACUUCUUGAGCUGUAUGGGAAAGAGAUAUGCCUUUUGGAUGCUACAUAUAGGUCAACCAGAUAUUCUGUCCCAUUAUAUUUCCUAUGUGUGCCUACGAACGUAAAUUACAUUACUGUUGGAACCUUUGUUACAGAGACCAAGGACAGCGCUUCACUGAUGGAGGCCUUGCAGGUUAUAAAAGAAUGGAAUCCCGAGUGGUUACCCAAGUUCUUUAUGUGUGACUAUGCCACUGAAGAAAUCAAUGCCCUUGAAAACGUUUUUCCAGGUUCUUUUGUAUACCUUUGUGAUUUUCACCGAGAGCAGAGUUGGGAAAGAUGGCUUACUGCAGCACAUAAUGGACUGCACACAGAGAAGACCAAUGUUCUUCCACUUCUAAGACCUAUUGCUAGGGCACUUAAUGAAGAUGAUUAUAAUUAUGCCUUGUCUACAUUAAAGGUAUUAAAAUAAGAUAAGCUUAUUCUCAGACAUAUUCAAAUAUGGUGUUCAUAAAACACUUACAAAUUCUGGAAAAAACAAUGAACUUAAUAUAAUAACUUA